AGCAGCCCCCGGCCUCUCUCCACCCACGACUGCGAGGUCUUGUCAAAGACAAACAGCUUGCACUGGAUCUGGAACACAAGGCGGCCUCCAGGGAGGUAUUAAAAAAAUCCUUAAGGAAAUGCCAUCGGAACACAAUGCGAUACCACUUCAUACCCACUAGGAUGGCUAGAAGCAAAGACAGAUCGUAACAGGCACAUGCAGGACGUGGAGAAACCAGAAGCCUCACGCACGGCUCGUGGGAUGUACAAUGGUGCAGCUGCGGGGGAAACCGCUCCUCCGAACGGAAGCAUGGCGCUCUCACAGGGCCCAGAAAUCCCACUCCUGGGGUCCACCCGAGAGAAAUGAAACAUGUGUCCACACAAAAACUCGCACACGAAUGUUCACAGCAGCAUGAGUCCUAAGAAGCAAAAAGUGGACAGAACCCAACCAUCCAGCCACACGCUGGAGUACAAUGCAGCCAUGAAAAAGAGUGAGGUCCUGACAGCCGCACGUGCACGGACCUGCACACACGAUGCUCAGGGAGAGAAGCAGACACAGAAGGACACACGGUGUGUGAUCCCAUUGACGGGAAACGUCCAGAACAGGCAGAUUCACAGACAGAGAGCGGGCUUGUGGGUGCCAGGGACUGGUGGGGUGGGGGGUGACUGCUUAUGUGCAGUUUCUUUUUGAGGGACAAAAUUGUUCUAAAUUAGACAGUGGUGAUGGUUGCACAACUCUCUGAGUACACUAAAAACUACUGAAUUGUAUGCUUUAAAAGGCUGAAUUUCAUAGUACGUGGACCAUAUCUCAAUAAAGCCGUAAAAUACAUUAAAAAAAGAAUAUGCAACAGAGA